rnacentral:rRNA from 1 species
AGCUCUGUAAGCGUAUACCAAAGUUGUUGCAGUUAAAACGCUCGUAGUCGGAAGUUGGCGGGCGCCCAGGGGCGUCUUCACGGACGUGUUUUGGUUGGCCGCCUUUGUGGAGGGGGGCCCAGUGGUGCUUCACUGCGUCACUGUGGUCGCUGCCACCGUUUACUGUGAAAAAAUUAGAGUGUUCAAAGCGGGCGUUUGCCAUGAAUACAUUAGCAUGGAAUAAUAGAAUAGGACCUGUUUCCUGUUUUGUUGGUUUGUGAGGAUCGGGUAAUGAUUAAGAGGGACGGUUGGGGGCAUUUGUAUUCCGGCGUCAGAGGUGAAAUUCUUGGAUUGUCGGAAGACAAACAGCUGCGAAAGCGUCUGCCAAGGACGUUUUCAUUGAUCAAGAACGAAAGUACGC